GUGCUCUCUUCAGCAACACACAACCGAAACUGAAACAAGACAGAGAGGAUUGAGAGUGGCCCCGUCGCAAGGACGGCAUGCAAACUUGUGAAGCGUUCUGUAUUUUU
ensembl:snRNA U6 U6 spliceosomal RNA